CAUCACAGUACUCUAACCACUGGUCCAUGUCAAAGCAAAGGUAAAUUCAGACUCUCAAUCAGAGCAGCUUCCUAAUGCGUCCACAUUCAAAGACGAUGAAGAAAUGUUGGCUUCUAUGACUUUUGCAUCACCUCACCUCUCCGUGACUGCAGCUCAAGAUGACCAUGGGGAGUGCUGCAUGUGUUCACCUUCAACUUCUGGUUCACCUCAUCUUCCUGACUUGGUUUCUCAAGGUUUCCAUGUUUCAUCACGGCGGUGUGUGAAGGGACCAUGGUCUGAAGAGGAGAUACAAGCUGUGAUGAGGUCUUUUAUUGAAAAUAGUGUCAUUGUCACCAAUGAGCAGUGUCUGAAGGGCCAACAAAAGGAACAACCUAACUUAGGCCCCAUUUACACUAAUACGUUUUAGUUUUAAAACGCAUAAGUUUUGCUACGGUUUUCAAGCUCUGAAAACUGAGGUUUUUGAAAAUGCUGGAGAGGCUGUUUUCAUUUUUAAAACACUGCUGCUCCGUGUUAGUGUGGAUGGGGAAAACGGAGACAUCGGAAAACAGAUUGGGGCUUUUUCCUCAAUAUUAAGUAGCCGAUAAAGUUCAUUCUUAUAUCCUCUCCUUGUAGGCUCAGAGAAAACAAACUCCCGAGGACACGUCGGGUAAAUUUCUAAAGGAAACUGUGUACUUUAUAACCUCAUUCACAUCAUCCUGGCUACGGUGUUUCAUCUUAACAAUAAAAUGAAAACAUGAUAUAAGGAACUGCCUAUUUUCAUUUUAAUAUUAACUUAACAGACACCACAAAUGUUGAGGCGUAGAAUAGCUACAUAUUUAUAUGAUCGUCAUCUUCACCGUAUACAUAUUUAAAACAAA